AUCGAAAAAAUUUCCAACAAUUUUUUUUAUUCUCGCAGUUAAAAACGUCGUCGUUCUUUAUUUUUGUCUCAAGAAUUCAACUUAUUUUUUGUUUAAUUAUUUCUAAUUUCUUUAUAAUUUUGUUUGCUUAUUAAUUCCCAUAAAACUUUUUUUUAUUUCAUUCGUUGAAAGAUGGAAAAUAAACAAAAUGAUGGACCAUGGGGUUUCUCCUCAUCCUCAUCUGAUUUUCCUACUAUUCCCCCUCCACCAUCGUCAAGCAGACAACAACAACAACCAAAUUUGACCCAAAACCAGUUGCAACAAACCCAAGCCAAAGUCGAUGAGGUCGUUGACAUUAUGCGAGUAAAUGUUGAAAAAGUCCUGGAACGCGACCAAAAAUUGUCUGAGUUGGGCGAAAGGGCGGACGCCCUCGAGCAUGGUGCAUCCCAGUUUGAGCAACAGGCUGGCAAACUUAAACGGAAGCAGUGGUGGGCUAACGUCAAGAUGAUGAUAAUCAUGGGUGUAAUCGGAGUUGUCCUGUUAAUUAUUAUAAUUGCUUCCUUAUUCGCUUGAUCAAAAAAUUAAAAAUUACUCAUAAUAACAUAAAAUUUUAAUUGGAGGCUCUUUAAAAAUACUUUAUUAAAGUUUAGGGACCAGUACUUUAAGAAAUUUUCACUUCUUCCCUCCAGCAGUGAUGCCCCAGUGGACAAAAACUAAUUUCUGAAAUAAAAAAAAAAAAAAAAAAAUUAUUAAACUU